UUGAUCCUGGCUCAGGAUGAACGCUGGCGGCGUGCCUAAUACAUGCAAGUCGAGCGAACAGACGAGGAGCUUGCUCCUCUGACGUUAGCGGCGGACGGGUGAGUAACACGUGGAUAACCUACCUAUAAGACUGGGAUAACUUCGGGAAACCGGAGCUAAUACCGGAUAAUAUAUUGAACCGCAUGGUUCAAUAGUGAAAGACGGUUUUGCUGUCACUUAUAGAUGGAUCCGCGCCGCAUUAGCUAGUUGGUAAGGUAACGGCUUACCAAGGCAACGAUGCGUAGCCGACCUGAGAGGGUGAUCGGCCACACUGGAACUGAGACACGGUCCAGACUCCUACGGGAGGCAGCAGUAGGGAAUCUUCCGCAAUGGGCGAAAGCCUGACGGAGCAACGCCGCGUGAGUGAUGAAGGUCUUCGGAUCGUAAAACUCUGUUAUUAGGGAAAACAAAUGUGUAAGUAACUAUGCACGUCUUGACGG
rnacentral:rRNA from 1 species